UAGUUAUUUCAUAAAUGGGCAAUAGAGUA
rnacentral:piRNA from 1 species